UUUUCUAGGGUGAUAUGGAGAAGGUGGAGAAUAAAGCGGUUUUUCUCACAGUCCACGAUCUUGGAAGCAAUCACAACUCCAUCAAGAAUUUUGUCGACCAUGAAAGUAUGGUUGAAGUUAAGUCGCGGUCUGUGUUCAUCCACGUCGAUGUUCCUGGUCAAGAAGAGAAUGCUGCCAACUGGCCGACUGAUGUCCCCUAUCCUACAAUUCAGAUGAUGGGCGAAGAAUUGGUCAAGGUUUUAGACUACCUGAAGAUCAAGCUAAUCGUAGGGCUUGGAGAAGGAGCUGGAGCCAACAUUCUUGUCAGAUUUGCUCUCACCCAUCCCUCCCGUGUUCUUGGACUGAUCCUGAUUCAUUGCGUUUCCAAGGGAGUUGGAAUGAUGGAAUAUUUCAAAGAUAAGAUUUUGAACUGGCACUUACAAACGAUCGGGGUGAACCCAACGGCAGAGCAGUUUCUUGUUCUUCAUAAAUUUGGACCGGAGGAAAUUGAGACAGUAGAAAACAAAGAGACACUUAUCCAAGAGUACACAGAAACACUUAAAAAGAAAGUGAAUCCCCUGAAUCUGAGACGUUACGUUGAAGCUUAUAUGAACCGAAAGGACAUAACCGCAGCGAUUGAAACUAAUCUCACGUCUACGGAUGUCAUGAUGGUGACUGGAGCGAAGGCAAUUCACAUGCAAGCGGUGGAGAACAUGUUCAUGAGAAUGAGCAAACAAAAGACUACUUUACUUAAAAUAGACAGCGUGGGUGACGUCCUCCAAGGAGCGCCUGUAAAGCUUGCUCAGAAUCUACUUCUCUUUGUAAAAGGGCUCGGAUACUUGACCUCAGUGACCCUACCUGGAGUCGAGAGACAGCGAACCUUCUCUGGAGGAGAUCAAGCAGCAUUAGGAGCGGGUCCACGGCGAAGAACAAUGUCAAUGGAAGAUUACGACACACCACGGAUCCGAAGAACUUCCCUGACCGCUGUCCAAAAGUGAACUGACCAAUUGUGCUGGAGUUCAGGCCAAUAUUAUAGAAAUAUGAUACUGUUCUAUCGGAUCAAGUGGCACUAGGAUCGUCGCUCACGUCGAGACCGCUUGUAAAGAACGGUCGUGUUUCUUAGUCACUGAAACCCGUUAACCUGUAGUACAUUAAGCUAAUGUGAUGCACGUUUUGUAAAAUCUAAUAAAGAAUUUUAAAAAGUGUA
rnacentral:misc_RNA from 1 species